CGUUUCUUGGUUCAUCAUUCCUUAAAGUCGGAGGUUUUUCAGCUCAGCCGAGCUGGAGAGUGGGAAAGGAAAGUGUAUGAACGUCGAGCAUCUCAACGAGAGUACGGCAUUGAAAAAGUCCUACACAUCAAAAUCUUCUGGAAAAAGUUUUCAUUGGAGAAAAGUAAAAAGUUGAACAAAUAGAGUUUUAUUCAAAAAACAAAUAAAUUGUUACUUUCACAAAUUGAAUCCAGAAUUCAAGGCUUUGAUUCGAGAUAUUCAAUGAUCAGCUGUUGUUAGGAAUUUUUUAUAUUUUUUCGAAGUAGUAAAGUUGUUCAGGAAGGAAAAGUAAAAGUAAUAAAAAAUAUUCGUUAUCAGUUUGA